CACCGCGGUUAUACGAGAGACCCAAGUUGAUGACCCUCGGCGUAAAGAGUGGUUAAGGUGUCCUUAAACUAAGGCCAAAUGACUUCAAAGCCGUUAUACGCACAUGAAAGUACGAAGCCCAAUUACGAAAGUGGCCUUAAACCCCUGACUCCACGAAAGCUACGGCA
rnacentral:rRNA from 1 species